rnacentral:rRNA from 1 species
UACGUAGGGUGCAAGCGUUGUCCGGAAUUAUUGGGCGUAAAGAGCUCGUAGGCGGUCUGUCGCGUCUGCUGUGAAAACUCAGGGCUUAACCCUGAGCUUGCAGUGGGUACGGGCAGACUAGAGUGCGGUAGGGGGAGACUGGAAUUCCUGGUGUAGCGGUGAAAUGCGCAGAUAUCAGGGAGGAACACCGGUGGGCGAAAGGCGGGUCUCUGGGCCGUAACUGACGCUGGAGGAG